GACGAACGCUGGCGGCGUGCUUAACACAUGCAAGUCGAACGGAAAGGCCUUGCUUUUGUGGGGUGCUCGAGUGGCGAACGGGUGAGUAACACGUGAGUAACCUGCCCUUGACUUUGGGAUAACUUCAGGAAACUGGGGCUAAUACCGGAUAGGAGCUCCUGCUGCAUGGUGGGGGUUGGAAAGUUUCGGCGGUUGGGGAUGGACUCGCGGCUUAUCAGCUUGUUGGUGGGGUAGUGGCUUACCAAGGCUUUGACGGGUAGCCGGCCUGAGAGGGUGACCGGCCACAGUGGGACUGAGAUACGGCCCAGACUCCUACGGGAGGCAGCAGUGGGGAAUAUUGCACAAUGGGCGGAAGCCUGAUGCAGCAACGCCGCGUGCGGGAUGACGGCCUUCGGGUUGUAAACCGCUUUCGCCUGUGACGAAGCGUGAGUGACGGUAAUGGGUAAAGAAGCACCGGCUAACUACGUG
rnacentral:rRNA from 1 species